GUGCUUGCUUUGGCAGCACACAUACUAAAAUUGGAAGGAUACAGUGAUUAGCACAGUCCCUGCACAGGAUGACAGGCAAUUCCUAAAGCAUUCCAUAUAUUUUU
rnacentral:snRNA from 1 species